GACGAACGCCGGCGGCGUGCUUAACACAUGCAAGUCGAACGGAAAGGCCCUGCUUUUGUGGGGUGCUCGAGUGGCGAACGGGUGAGUAACACGUGAGUAACCUGCCCUUGACUUUGGGAUAACUUCAGGAAACUGGGGCUAAUACCGGAUAGGAGCUCCUGCUGCAUGGUGGGGGUUGGAAAGUUUCGGCGGUUGGGGAUGGACUCGCGGCUUAUCAGCUUGUUGGUGGGGUAGUGGCUUACCAAGGCUUUGACGGGUAGCCGGCCUGAGAGGGUGACCGGCCACAUUGGGACUGAGAUACGGCCCAGACUGCUACGGGAGGCAGCAGUGGGGAAUAUUGCACAAUGGGCGGAAGCCUGAUGCAGCAACGCCGCGUGCGGGAUGACGGCCUUCGGGUUGUAAACCGCUUUCGCCUGUGACGAAGCGUGAGUGACGGUAAUGGGUAAAGAAGCACCGGCUAACUACGUG
rnacentral:rRNA from 1 species